rnacentral:rRNA from 1 species
UACGGAGGGUGCAAGCGUUAUCCGGAUUCACUGGGUUUAAAGGGUGCGUAGGUGGGCAGGUAAGUCCGUGGUGAAAUCUCUGAGCUUAACUCAGAAACUGCCGUGGAUACUAUUUGUCUUGAAUAUUGUGGAGGUGAGCGGAAUAUGUCAUGUAGCGGUGAAAUGCUUAGAUAUGGCAUAGAACACCAAUUGCGAAGGCAGCUCACUACACAAUUAUUGACGCUGAGGCACGAAAGCGUGGGGAUCAAACAGG